rnacentral:rRNA from 1 species
GUCCACGCCCUAAACGAUGUCAACUGGUUGUUGUGUCUUAGCUGACUCAGUAACGAAGCUAACGCGUGAAGUUGACCGCCUGGGGAGUACGGCCGCAAGGUUGAAACUCAAAGGAAUUGACGGGGACCCCGCACAAGCGGUGGAUGAUGUGGUUUAAUUCGAUGCAACGCGAAAACCUUACCCACCUUUGACAUGUACGGAAUCCUUUAGAGAUAGAGGAGUGCUCGAAAGAGAGCCGUAACACAGGUGCUGCAUGGCUGUCGU